GGACAUGUGGGGAGGUCCUGUUCUGGACUGGAAGAGGUUGGAUGGCAGUGGACAACCUGGUGGUUCCAUCAUGGCCACCAUGAUGGGAAGGAGGGAAAAGGGAUCCCUGUGGUGCCUCUAACCUGUUCCAGAGUUAAUCAAAGGCCCUGAAGAUGUGUUGCUUUUUCCUCUUUGGUGGAGGGCAUUGUCUUUAUAGAGACGCACUGCAGAGACGGGGCAGGAGCUGAAUGAUGAGAGACCCUGCUUUACUUCUCUGAAGGACAGGAGGAAGCCCUGUGCUGCCAACAGGAUGAAGUUCUGGCUCAGGGGUAAAAAGGCCACACCCGUGAAUGAGAAUGAGAACUGUGUGGAGUAGACCAUCGAAGGAGGCUGGAUGCUAUUGGAACAGCGAGUGGAGCACCUGGUGCCUGCCUUCCUGGGGAGAGACCACACCUACCUCUGCACAUUCUUGGGCAUGUACAGAGCUUUUGCUACCACCCAACAGGUCCUGGAACUAUUGUU